ensembl:lncRNA
AUGGAGAAAUUAUGUGAGCCCAGGACUCCGGAUGAGGGUUCUCCUACUGUAUCCCUGCAGUUCUCCUCUUUUGAUAUCACUCCAUUCAUCAUGAACAUCAAAGAGUACUACAGCACACUGGCCGAGAACCUCACGUUUAAGUCCAGAGUAUCGAGCGCUGCUGCCAUUGAUCCCGCAGGAAAGGAGGUGGAGCAGCUGUCUAAGUUGACUGGAGGGAAAGUGAAGGACAUCUCCAAAGAGACUGACGUAAAUAUCCUCAAGAACUUGAGCUGCAGAAAAAGGUGGCAGAGCUGGAGAAGCAUGGAGAUGAGUUGGAGGUCGAAAUAGAAGCCAAGAAAGCGAAAUACCUGGAGGAGAUAGAGGAGCUGGAGGUACAAACACUCACUGAUCAUAUUCUACUGCAGCAGUUCUCAGUAUCUCACCACUGUGCUGUCUCUGUUCAGAAUUACCUUUGUCAGCUGGAGGAGGAGGAGGCUGAUCUUCAGUUCCAGAUGAAGGAUCAGAGUGGGGAUUAUGAAGAACUGCUGAAUCAGAAGAUGAAUCUAGUCAUCGAAAUUGCUGCUUACAGGGGUUUGGUUGAAGAAGAGGAGGAGAGACUGAGCUGCCUGUAAGAUGCAAGAAGAGGUGAUGCUCUCUUCUGGACUGAAGCAGACACAAAGAAACACUAAAACCACAUACAAUUCAACCCUUAACAGCGAGAUCCACAAAUCAGGAAAGUAAAGAAAACAGCUGUCAGACACACUUAACCUUCUGAGCAGAUGUAAACCUUCACUGACAGAUGAACUUCAGGGAGUUCGUGCAAGCUCAUUGAUAACGGGUCAGUGGCAGGUAACCUCGGGUCUUCAAGAAACACUGGAUCUGUGCAGCAGUGGGAGUGUGUUGAUAGUGAUGGGGGAUUUUCAGCACUGGAAUCUUCUACUUAUAGCUUCAUAGUCCUUGUCACUGACAUACAGUACAUACCCUACCAUUCAAAAGUUUGGGGUCGGUAAACUUUCCUUUUUAAAGAAACACUACUUUUGUCCAGUCAAGUGAUGUUAAAGACAUUUAUAAUGUAACCAAAGAGUUUUAUUUCAAAUAAAUUCUGAACAUUCUAUUAAUCA